UACGAGGGGGGCGAGCGUUGUUCGGAAUUAUUGGGCGUAAAGGGUGCGUAGGCGGGUCUUUAAGUCAGGGGUGAAAUCCUGGAGCUCAACUCCAGAACUGCCUUUGAUACUGAGGAUCUUGAGUUCGGGAGAGGUGAGUGGAACUGCGAGUGUAGAGGUGAAAUUCGUAGAUAUUCGCAAGAACACCAGUGGCGAAAGGCAGCUCACUGGCCCGAUACUGACGCUGAGGCACGAAAGCGUGGGGAGCAAACAGG
rnacentral:rRNA from 1 species